AGUUAAUUAACUUAAAAUUAAAGUUUAUAUUUUGAAAAUAUAAUAUAGAGAUUCUUCUAUUAACUU
rnacentral:tRNA from 1 species